AUUGAACGCUUGCGGCGGGCCUAACACAUGCAAGUCGAGCGCGAAAGUCUUCGGAUGAGUAAAGCGGCGAACGGGUGAGUAAUACAUGGGAAUCUGCCUGGUAGUGGGGGACAACGUUUCGAAAGGAACGCUAUACCGCAUACGCCCUACGGGGGAAAGGGGGGGAUCUUCGGACCUCUCGCUAUCAGAUGAGCCCAUGUCAGAUUAGCUAGUUGGUGAGGUAAAGGCUCACCAAGGCGACGAUCUGUAACUGGUCUGAGAGGAUGAUCAGUCACACUGGAACUGAGAGACGGUCCAGACGCGUACGGGAGGCAGCAGUGGGGAAUAUGGGACAAUGGGGGCAACCCUGAUCCAGCCAUGCCGCGUGUGUGAAGAAGGCCCUAGGGUUGUAAAGCACUUUCAGUGGGGAGAAAAGUGAUUCACCUAAUACGUGAGUCAAUUGAUGUUACCCACAGAAGAAGCACCGGCUAACUCCGUGCCAGCAGCCGCAGUAAAAC
rnacentral:rRNA from 1 species